ensembl:snoRNA SNORA72 Small nucleolar RNA SNORA72
CUGUGAGUAUUCUUGCUGUUCUGAUUUUGUAAUAAUCAGGAAGCCUAAACAUUUGCUAUAUUAAGACCAUUCACGUGUCCCCAGACCUAGUUCUUCCCCUAGGUCUGGUUUUAUCAAUACUUAUGAUAAAC